rnacentral:ncRNA from 2 species
CUCCAAGGAGCGUUGCAGCACGGUUUUCAUGACCGUGUCAGGCUUGGAUUCUUUUUCGCAACGGCGCUCACGUUAC